rnacentral:SRP_RNA from 1 species
AGUCAAGCCCCGGACAAUAUGGAGUUACCCAACCCCGCCAGGUUCGGAAGAAAGCAACGGUCAGUAAUAUCUGUAUGUGAUUCGGGUGUCUUGACUUUU